rnacentral:rRNA from 1 species
UACGGAGGGUGCGAGCGUUGUCCGGAAUCACUGGGCGUAAAGCGUGCGUAGGUGGCGUGUUAAGUGUGAUGUUAAAUCGUGUGGCUCAACCAUAUCGAUGUGUCGCAUACUGGCAUGCUAGAGGACAGCAGAGGCAAGUGGAAUUUGUAGUGUAGCAGUGAAAUGCGUAGAUAUUACAAGGAACACCGAUGGCGAAGGCAGCUUGCUGGGCUACUCCUGACACUGAGGUACGAAAGCGUGGGGAGCGAACAGG